ACGAACGCUGGCGGCGUGCCUAAUACAUGCAAGUCGAGCGGAAUGAUGAAGAAGCUUGCUUCUUCUGAUUUUUAGCGGCGGACGGGUGAGUAACACGUGGGCAACCUACCUUGUAGAUUGGGAUAACUCCGGGAAACCGGGGCUAAUACCGAAUAAUCCAUUUUGCUUCAUGGCGAGAUGUUGAAAGACGGUUUCGGCUGUCACUAUAAGAUGGGCCCGCGGCGCAUUAGCUAGUUGGUAGGGUAAUGGCCUACCAAGGCGACGAUGCGUAGCCGACCUGAGAGGGUGAUCGGCCACACUGGGACUGAGACACGGCCCAGACUCCUACGGGAGGCAGCAGUAGGGAAUCUUCCACAAUGGACGAAAGUCUGAUGGAGCAACGCCGCGUGAGUGAAGAAGGUUUUCGGAUCGUAAAACUCUGUUGUAAGGGAAGAACACGUACGAGAGUAACUGCUCGUACCUUGACGGUACCUUAUUAGAAAGCCACGGCUAACUACGUG
rnacentral:rRNA from 1 species